UACGUAGGGAGCAAGCGUUAUCCGGAUUUAUUGGGUGUAAAGGGUGCGUAGACGGGUAUACAAGUUAGUAGUGAAAUCCCUCGGCUUAACUGAGGAACUGCUACUAAAACUAUAUAUCUUGAGUACUGGAGGGGAAAGCGGAAUUCCUAGUGUAGCGGUGAAAUGCGUAGAUAUUAGGAAGAACACCGGUGGCGAAGGCGGCUUUCUGGACAGAAACUGACGUUGAGGCACGAAAGUGUGGGGAGCAAACA
rnacentral:rRNA from 1 species